AAAAAAUGAAUUACAGCCCAUCAGUUAUUUUGGGAGAGUUCCACCAUUGAAAAAUCUUUUCAAUUUCCAUCCGGCAAAUGAAGAAUGAAAAUUGCCUAGAAAACAUACUUGCCAGUGCAGUAUAUUCAAAGAACACUUUAAGAAGAACACAUCCCAUGAAAGAAGUUUUCUAUGUCUUCAUGGCUCAAUAUAGG